GCUGGGUGUCAGAUGGCUGCAGCAGCCCGUGGGACCACUUCUCUGCGUGAGAACUUCUAGAGGAGGAGAAACGGGGCUACUUCCAGCAACGUUCCUGGAAGAGGGAGGAAGGACUUCCACUGGAAGAGACGCACAGAGGUCAGAGCCAGUCUGGAAGUUCAGAGAGAACGUUUAACACAAUGUUACAGGACACCGUGAGCCACAGAAGCAUCUGUCGAAAAUGAGGGAACCUCCCUAUGAGCUCCAGGUUAGGGGACCGGGUGAAAGAGGCGAAGGAUGAAGAAGUAUGAACUGGUAGUUAGAAAGCGGCCAUGGGGUAGCCGGUACGGCACAGCGACAAAGCCAAGCCAACAGCAUCACGACACCUAGGUGUGGUGUCAGGUGGGCACUGGAAAUACCGGAGAAAGAGACCCUUUGUAAAGUAUGUGACUGUCUAGCCACCAUGCUGCACACCUGAGACCAAGGCAAAAUAACACUGUGUGUUUAAAGAUAAACAAAUAAAUGGUGACAACACCAAGAAGAAAAAACAUUGCAGCUCUGUUCCCCAACCUGAGCAAUUUGUCGUCUGACCAUCUGCCUGCUUUUCAUCCUUUUGCUUGUGAUUGGAUUCUGGAAAAAUAGAGGGUUUUAAAACUGCUUUUAGUAGGAACAAGAACAUCUAGGCUAAAAGCAGACACCUCCUCCAGGGCAGGGUGCUGCUUCUGUGCUCCCAGUAGUCGGGGCUACUCAGUCUCUCAUCCGAUGUGCACGGCCGCCGCCACCCCCCAAGCAUGAAGACCCAUCUGAAGCAUUGGGGGGGGGGGCUUGUGAACACAUAGGUUCUCACUCAGUUGGUCUAGGAUGGAGGCUGCACUUCUGCACUUCUGGUCCCCUCACCCAAGACAGUGACGGCACUUCCGCAGCCAAGUGGAGGCAGCGGAGAGCAUCUACCAUUUGCACUGGAAGAGCUUCCCUGAUGAUGGUGGCAACGCCCCCAAAAGUGGACAUGGGAAUGGCACUCAGUUCAAAAGCUGUGGCCGAGGUGCUCUGGCCAUCAUCUCGGGUGGGGCUCCCUGGGGAGCAGACUCUGAGAUGGAGACAGAACAUGGGUGUGUACUGCAGGUCCUUGAAUAAUGUCAGUUCAUUAUAGUGUUGAUGAGUGUUAACAACUUAACUCUUGUUUAGAUCAAUUAACCUUUGGUAAAAUAGGUUUCACUGUAGGUACGAAGUUUUGCUGUAGUUCCAGGAACCUGUUAGUGGUGUUAAGUAAGGACUCAGUGUACUGAGAAGUGCAGCCAAGAUUUCCACCUGGGCAAGGGCAGAGGCAGCCCAGCAAGGCUCCCGGGCCCCAAGGCUCUGCAGUGGGGCUGGUGCUCUACAGUGGGCCUGAGUCAAGGUGAAGGGGCCAGGCCCUGGUUGCAGGCUGCCCCAGGAAGGGGGGUUCACCUGGCUCGAGGGGACUCUCUUUGGCCAGGCCCCCCCAGCACCAGCAGACAGCUGAGGCUCUUACAGGCAGCACUUCUGGCAGCUGAAGGGCCACCUGGGCGAGUGUCAGGCUGCACACGCAGGCCCGCACCCUGGUCUCCAGGUCCUCGCUCACUGAUGGUCUAGGUUCGAGCCCUCCUCUCCGUUUUAAUGCCAAUUCACACACCUCAAACACAACCCUCUCUCAGUACCGUGGCCUGGAAAGCCACCUACUGUUGACAAGUCAAGCCUCUAGGUGGGUGGCUUGCAUUUCUAAGAAUUCCUAGGCUGUAUUUUCCAACACUGGAAAGGGUCCCAUUUAACAUUUCC